UCAUUAGUUCUUCUAGGUUUGGAAUAGGUGU
rnacentral:piRNA from 1 species